rnacentral:rRNA from 1 species
GUGGGGAAUCUUAGACAAUGGGGGCAACCCUGAUCUAGCCAUGCCGCGUGAGUGAUGAAGGCCUUAGGGUUGUAAAGCUCUUUCAGUGGGGAAGAUAAUGACGGUACCCACAGAAGAAGCCCCGGCUAACUCCGUGCCAGCAGCCGCGGUAAUACGGAGGGGGCUAGCGUUGUUCGGAAUUACUGGGCGUAAAGCGCACGUAGGCGGAGCGGAAAGUUGGGGGUGAAAUCCCAGGGCUCAACCCUGGAACUGCCUUCAAAACUAUCGGUCUGGAGUCCGAGAGAGGUGAGUGGAAUUCCGAGUGUAGAGGUGAAAUUCGUAGAUAUUCGGAGGAACACCAGUGGCGAAGGCGGCUCACUGGCUCGAUACUGACGCUGAGGUGCGAAAGCGUGGGGAGCAAACAGGAUUAGAUACCCCGGUAGUCC